AGCUCCUCCAGACCAACAGAGGUGUCCCGUGUCUUGUGAAGUGACGGGGCUCCGCAGAGAGAAACGUUACCGUCUCGUUACCGACCGGGUGCCGGUGUCUCCCUGCCCUCUCCGGCUGCGGGCGUGCGCGAACGCCUCAGAGGUGCUUUUGAAGAUAAACAGGUCCAACUGAACUGCAAUCCUAUGAAAGACUAGGAAUUUCAGUUCAUUUCACCAGAUUGACUGCAUCAACAGGUGCCAUGGUUAAGACAAUGAGAAGAAGAUUGCUGUCCCUCCUCCGAGGGAAACCAACAAAGAAGAGGAUCUGGAUGUUAAUAAAAUGACUCCAAAAAAAACAUUUACUACAAAGAAAAGUGAA